rnacentral:rRNA from 1 species
CCUACGGUGAGCAGCAGUGAGGAAUAUUGGUCAAUGGACGAGAGUCUGAACCAGCCAAGUAGCGUGAAGGAUGACUGCCCUAUGGGUUGUAAACUUCUUUUAUAUGGGAAUAAAAUGUUCCACGUGUGGGAUUUUGUAUGUACCAUAUGAAUAAGGAUCGGCUAACUCCGUGCCAGCAGCCGCGGUAAUACGGAGGAUCCGAGCGUUAUCCGGAUUUAUUGGGUUUAAAGGGUGCGCAGGCGGAAGAUCAAGUCAGCGGUAAAAUUGAGAGGCUCAACCUCUUCGAGCCGUUGAAACUGGUUUUCUUGAGUGAGUGAGAAGUAUGCGGAAUGCGUGGUGUAGCGGUGAAAUGCGUAGAUAUUAGGAGGAACACCAGUGGCGAAGGCGGCCUGCUGGACGACAACUGACGGUGAGGCGCGAAAGCGUGGGGAGCAAACAGGAUUAGAUACCCGUGUAGUC